GCUUGAAGACACACUGAAUCUUCUUCUUAAGAAGAGGAAGUAAUAGCAGCUUAAAGAAGAGAUUGAAAGGUCUAUGUCACAUAAUUGGCUUUGCUCUUGCCUAAGUAUAACAUGGGGGCCAAGUUUCAUGUAGAAUGUCGGAUGAGUUUGAACAAAUUUCUUGCUGUUUUGUGGGCGGUUUCUUCUUUCUAAGGCAUUUACUGAGUUUAACUAGCAGGGAAGAAAAAGGAAGAGGGGCAAGGUGACAUAGCGUGCAAAUACACACCGCCACAGAUUUCAUUUCUUAAUUAAGGGCCUGAGGUGUAUUUCUUUUUUAUGCUCUCGAGUUUGAAAGCUGAAAAUGGGCCAUCUAUUUGCCUUGAUUGGUCUAUGUUUUGGACAUAGACUCUUUCUGACUAUUAGAUACGGAGUAUUUUUAUGUACUCCUAGCGUUCAUGAUAAUAGUGAAUUUAAAACUUUUGCUCUUAAUUGCAA